rnacentral:tRNA from 2 species
UCAGCCGUGGGCCGGGGGGUUGGGCCGGUCGGCGUUCUCGUUGCCGCCGUCCUUGCCUGCCUCGCCGCUCGGAUUCGGCUGGCCGGG